ACGUCUUGUCAAUGAUGCUUUUAAACACAAAUGUCUGAACAAAUGACUUUCUGUGAUUCAUUCUUCUUAACUGAGACAAGACUGCCU
ensembl:snoRNA